GAGGCAGCGGCCGAAGGUAGGGUCAGCGAUUGGGGUGAAGUCGUAACAAGGUAGCCGUAGGAGAACCUGCGGCUGGAUCACCUCCUUUCUAUGGAGA
rnacentral:rRNA from 1 species